rnacentral:hammerhead_ribozyme from 1 species
ACUAGCUGACGAGUCCCAAAUAGGACGAAAAGCGCGUCCGGGAU